rnacentral:rRNA from 1 species
AGUGGGGAAUAUUGGACAAUGGGCGAAAGCCUGAUCCAGCAACGCCGCGUGAGGGAUGACGGCCUUCGGGUUGUAAACCUCUUUCAGCAGGGACGAAGCGCAAGUGACGGUACCUGCAGAAGAAGCACCGGCCAACUACGUGCCAGCAGCCGCGGUAAUACGUAGGGUGCAAGCGUUGUCCGGAAUUAUUGGGCGUAAAGGGCUCGUAGGCGGUCCAUCGCGUCGGGAGUGAAAAGCUGGGGCUUAACCCCAGUCCUGCUUCCGAUACGGGUGGACUAGAGGUAGGCAGGGGAGAACGGAAUUCCUGGUGUAGCGGUGAAAUGCGCAGAUAUCAGGAGGAACACCGGUGGCGAAGGCGGUUCUCUGGGCCUUACCUGACGCUGAGGAGCGAAAGCAUGGGGAGCAAA